rnacentral:rRNA from 1 species
AACGAACGCUGGCGGCAUGCCUAACACAUGCAAGUCGAACGAGACCUUCGGGUCUAGUGGCGCACGGGUGCGUAACGCGUGGGAACCUGCCCUUAGGUUCGGAAUAACUCCCCGUAAGGGGUGCUAAUACCGGAUAAUUUCUUAGGACCAAAGAUUUAUCGCCUUUGGAUGGGCCCGCGUUGGAUUAGCUAGUUGGUAGGGUAAAAUCCUACCAAGGCGACGAUCCAUAGCUGGUCAGAGAGGAUGAUCAGCCACACUGGGACUGAGACACGGCCCAGACUCCUCCGGGAGGCAGCAGUGGGGAAUAUUGGACAAUGGGCGAAAGCCUGAUCCAGCAAUGCCGCGUGAGUGAUGAAGGCCUUAGGGUUGUAAAGCUCUUUUACCCGGGAUGAUAAUGACAGUACCGGGAGAAUAAGCUCCGGCUAACUCCGUG